ensembl:lncRNA
CAGCGUCGUCCGGGUUAGGGGAGGGUUUGGCCCAGCGUCGUCCGGGUUAGGGGAGGGUUUGGCCCAGCGUCGUCCGGGUUAGGGGAGGGUUUGGCCCAGCGUCGUCCGGGUUAGGGGAGGGUUUGGCCCAGCGUCGUCCGGGUUAGGGGAGGGUUUGGCCGGCUGGGAUUUCCUUGGCCCAUCGGGCUCUAGCUACUCCAUGUUGCGGGCCGGCCGCCUGCAAACUGACUUCGGUCACCAGUUGGACAGUGUUUCCUCUGACACGUUGGUGCUUCCGGGUUGAGCAAGAAGCAGUGCGGCUUGGCAGGGUUGUAUUUCGGAGGACGCAUGGCUCUCGAACUUCGCCUCUCCCAAGUCCGUAGGGGAGUUGCAGCGAUGGGACAAGACUGUAACUACCAAUCCACUACCAAAUAUAUAAAUAAAAAGAAAGAAAAAAUGUUACAUUUUUUGAAGCUUCAAAAAAACAAUUUUAUUCUAAAAUUUUAUUCUAAAAUGUUGUUCACAGACUAGAUAAUUCAGCCACGUGACAGAUGUGGCAUAUCAAGAAACUGAUUAAACAACAUGAUCAUUACACCUGUGUACCUUGUGCUGGGGACAAUAAAAGGCCACUCUAAAAUGUGCAGUUUUGUCACACAACACAAUGCCACAGAUGUCUCAAGUUUUGAGGGAGCGUGCAAUUGGCAAGCUGACUGCAGGAAUGUCCACC